UGUGACUUUCGUUAAAAGUGAACAAUACCGAUAAUAUUUUGUUAAAACUCUCAAAAAUUAAUAGAGAGAUUUGGGAAUUAGGGUUUAAGAUUUAGCAGACACUGGGAUUUGUGAAUUAGGGUUUUAUCACUGCGGCAUUUCCGUCGCCAACUCUCCUCACGACGAUUGCUCCUCCAACUGCAGGUGCAACAACGAUAUCUGACGGUGCAUCGGAGAAGCAUUUCAUGGCAUACUCUCAAGGCCGCAAUUUCUUGUUCUGCGACUUGUGUGGGAGUUUGCUAAAUUUGAAUUCAAAUAAGUAUGCUCAAUGCCCUCUCUGCAAGUUCCAGCGAAAUGUGAAAGAGAUAUCCGGAAGAGAAAUAUCUUACAAAGUCACUGCUGUGGAUAAUCAUUCUAGCCAUCGUCUGUGUGUACUUUAUGUGUGCACACUAAAUUGAGUUGUCGUGGUUCGCACAUGUACUAUGAUUUGCCGACAUUCACCUCUCCCAUACCCUGCGUAAAGCGGGAGCCUUGUGCACUGAGUACGACGAUAUUUUCUCAUGCCCCUUUUACAAUAUUCGAAAAUAUACGAUAUUAGAAGAGAUCUAGGCAUAUCAAUAAUUCCAGAAGAGAAGGUGCAAUUGCAAAAGACAGAUGCUAAAACGUGUGAAAAAUGCGGCCACAAUGAGCAUACAUAUUACUCCCGACAGAUGAGGUCGGCAGAUGAAGGGGCCACUACUUUCUAUGUGUGCACCAAUUGCCAGCACCAAUUUACUGAGAAUUGAUAUAUACCGGAGAUUGGAAGAGAUUAUGGGACAUGUUCCUAACAACUCUAAAGAUUUAUGCCUUGUAUUGAGUGUAUAUUUAAGAUUUAACAGAUAUGAGAUCAAGGUUUGAAGUCAUACCGAACGUGUUUUUUCACCAACACAGAUUUGUCAGCUAUAAGAUUUAUGAUUCUGUGGUUUUGCUUCCGCCAUAUUAAAGGGGAAUAUGAUUGUGCCGAAA